CCUAGCGCAGGAAGCAGAAGUGGCCCAUCUGGCCUGCCUUCUCUCCCGGGGCACGCUGGGAAACGUAAUUCUCUCUCGGGGUCGUGCUCGGCCUUCUACUGGCGGAGGGGUAGCAUGCUCAUCAGUGCGCCGACCCCGCUCCCUGAUUGGCGGCCGCUCGUUUCCCCGCCUGAUGGCGGGUAGGGGAGGAUAUUAGGGUUGAGCUUCCUGGGUCAGACACUGCUGCCUCCAUUGUGAUCUGGGAGCCAAGGCUGAGCAGCUCCUGUUCGCUGGUGGGAUCUGGGCUGGGGAGUGACUGUGAGUAAAGCUUCCUCUGUGCCCAGCCAAGGUGAGGACUUUCUCCAGCUGCAAUUACCUCAUAGGCUACAGCAUAACAUCCCAUCCUUCUGGAGGACGUGGAAGGGAAAUGGCUGCUGUGGAGCCAGUUCAGGGGCUGGUGACCUUCAAGGAGGUGGCUGUGUAUUUCACCAAAGAAGAGUGGGCUCUGCUGGACCCUCCUCAGAAAGCCAUCUACAGAGACGUCAUGCAGGAGAACUAUGAGAAUGUGACCUCGCUGGGUAAGGAUUCCAUUCUCCUCAGUUAUUAGAAGGGGAAAUGAAGAAUUAAGAUUCACAACACCCCACAAUGCAAUCUCAACUCUGUCCUGUUUCAGCAACACACUGACAGGCCAAUGACACACAGACUAGCACUCUACCCUCCCAACUACAGAACACUUUGGGAACAGAAGCUACCUAUCCUUGGCCUGCACUCAAACACUGAGCCUACUGCACACAGUCCAUCUCUGACUUUCAUAAUGUCACCACCCCUUUACCUUUGCAGUGAGGAUUCCUUCUGAGUCCCUGCCUUCACUUACCACUUACUGAGCCUUGGAGACCACUAGCAUGUAUGACACCAGACAGCUGAUAACCCUCGUGGCAAGAACACACCCUUGUGCACCUUUAUUGACACUAUCUACAACACUCAGCACUGAAAUGAGUUUCCUUCAAGUUUCACAUGCACCUCUCUUCAUAUCACAGUCACAGCUCUGCCAAGCUGCUCUAACAAAUCCCUCUGCUGUUCAUGUAAAGCCACUACUGACACAGUGCACACAACUGGAGUGCAUGCGGAUAAAUGUUUGUAUUCAGAUUUGUAGAACACAUUAACAAUGGCAUGUUUUUAGUCCUUUCUUCCACUGAUUAUUGAUCAAUAGAUUUUAAGGCCAGGAGAAACUGUUAGGUCAUCUAGUCUGACCUGCUGUGUAAUACAGGCCAUGGAGUUUCAUCCAGUUACUGUUGUAGUGAGCCGAAUACCUUGUGUUUGAUGAAAACAUCUCCCAGAAAGGCAUCCUGUCCUGAUUUGAAGACUUCAUAAGAUGGAAAAUUUGCCACUUCCUUGCGUAAUUUGUUAAUCUUUGCACCACCCUUACUGACCUAUUCCCAGUGAUAUUUGCUGGGUCCAGGGUUGGGGGUAGGAGCAGAGUUAAGGUUGCAUUGCAGGGGUGGUGUGUAGUUUAGUCCUUCAUUUCCUGAUUUUCAGAGGUUUUAACUUUUGCCACCAACCACAUGCUUGGAAAGGCAUGCGGCAGCACUGGGCAACCUUAACUGUGCUUUAAUGUUGUUUAUGGGUAUUUAAUUUCUUUGAUUUCUUUUUAAUAGACUUUUUUGCACUUUUGCCGGCAAGCCGUGUCAGGUGGGGAUGUGAUUUUUUUCACACCACUAACCAGCCGAUCUAUGCUGGCAAAACUCUUAAUUAGUGACGAGUCCAAUAUCUCUGUGUAGAUUUGAGAGCACUUUAAAAUAUUGUUCUUAAUACAGAAAUGUUGGUAUCAGGGCAAAACUUCCAAGAGAAACUCCUACAGAAUGUAAGCAUAAUACACAACACACAUUGUCUGACAGUUGGCAGUGAUAGGGCUCAGACUUGGAUGCAUGGUGUAGCUCAGGUUCAAUGGCCAUGGCAUGUCCUUUUGUGCCAACCAAUUACUGUGACAGCAGAUUGCUGGAAACCCUGUGGGUGUAAUCUUGCUGCACAUGUGAAUUUCAAUCCCUUAGACUCGUCAUUUGAUGAUAGUAGUGAGGAGGGCUUUAGGUUUAUUAGAAACUGGGAAAUCUUUUCAGAAAGGAGGAGCCUGUACAGGAAGGAUGGACUCCACCUAAGCCAAAAUGAAACCAGACUUCUGGCAUGUGAAAUUAAAAAGUUCAUAGAGGAGAUUUUAAACUAAGUGCUGGGGGAAAGGCAACUAGGUGUAGAGGAACAUAUGGUUCGGAAAGAGCAAUCCCUUAGGAGAGGAUCUCUUCAUGGGGAUUCUCUAUAUCCUAAUAAAGAGGAGAGAUAGUAGCUGAAGAGAAACGGUCAAAUGAAAGAGUCCUGUUCAAUUACAUCACAUGAAGGCAGACAACUAAAUAUUCACAAAUUUUAUAAGUUUUUGUAUAGAAACGCAAGAAGGCUAAAUACUAAGAUGGGUGAACUUGACUGUCUGGUUUUAAAUAAGGAUAUUGGUGUAAUAAGCAUCACAGAAACUUGGUGGAAUGAUAAUCAAUGGGACAUGGUAAUAUCAAGAAAUGACAGAGUAGGUUGUGCUGGUGGGAGAGUGGCACUAUAUGUGAAAGAAAACCUAGAAUCAAAUAUAGUAAAAAAUGUUAAAUGAAUCAAACUGUGCCAUAGAAUCUCUGAUAGAAAUUCCAUGCUUGAAUAAUAAGAGUAUAACAGUAGGAAUAUACUACUGACCACCUGGCCAGGAUGGUGAUGGUGUUUAUGAAAUGUUCAGUGAGAUUAGAGAGACUAUUAAAAAUAGAACACAAUAAUAAUUGGGAAUUUCAACUAUCCCCAUAUUGACUGGGUACAUGUCACUUCAGGACAGAAUGCAGAGAGAAAGUUUUUAGACACCAGUAAUGACUGCUUAUUGGAGCAGCUAGUCCUGGAACCCACAAGGGGAGAGGCAAUUCUUGGUUUAGUCCUAAGAGGCGCACAGGAUCUGGUCCAAAAGGUGAAUACAGCUGAAUCACUUGGUAAUAGAGAUCAUAAUGUAAUUAAAUUUAACAUGCUUGUGAGGGGGAAAAUACCAAAGAAGCCCACGACAGUAGCAUUUAACUUCAGAAAGGGGAACUACACAAAGUGAGAAAGCUAGGUACAUGGAAAUGAAAAGGAGCACUCACAAAAGUGAAAUGCCUGUAAGCUGCAUGGAAACUUUUUAAAAACACUAUAAUAGAGGCUCAAAAUAAAUGUGUACACCAAAUUCAGCGGGGGGGGGGCGGGCAGGGAAACAGUAAAAGGACUAAAAAAAUGCCACCAUGGCUAAACAACAGAGUAAAUAAGGCAGGUAGAGGCAAAAAGGCAUCCUUUAAAAAUUGGAAGUCAAACCCUACUGAGGAAAAUAGAAAGGAGCAUAAACUCUGAGAAGUCAAGUAUAAAAAGUAUAAUUAGGCAGGCCAAAAAAAGAAUUUGAAGAGCAACUAGCAAAAGUCACAAAAACUAACACCAUUUUUUUAAAGCACAUCAGAAGCAGGAACCCUGCCAAACCAUCAGUGAGGCCACUGGGCGACUGAGAUGCUAAACGAACACUCAAGGAAGCCAA